rnacentral:rRNA from 1 species
UACGAAGGUGGCAAGCGUUGUUCGGAUUUACUGGGCGUACAGGGAGCGUAGGCGGUUGGGUAAGCCCUCCGUGAAAUCUCCGGGCCUAACCCGGAAAGUGCGGAGGGGACUGCUCGGCUAGAGGAUGGGAGAGGAGCGCGGAAUUCCCGGUGUAGCGGUGAAAUGCGUAGAGAUCGGGAGGAACACCCGUGGCGAAGGCGGCUCACUGGGCUGACCUUGACGCUGAGGCGCGAAGGCGUGGGGAGCGAACGGG